AUACGGAGGGUGCGAGCGUUGUUCGGAAUUACUGGGCGUAAAGGGCGCGUAGGCGGCCUGGCAAGUCUGAUGUGAAAGCCCGGGGCUCAACCCCGGAAGUGCAUCGGAAACUGCCAGGCUUGAGUUCGGAAGAGGAGGGCAGAAUUCCCGGUGUAGGGGUGAAAUCCGUAGAUAUCCGGACGAAAACCAGUGGCGAAGGCGGCCGUCUGGGACGAGACUGACGCUGAGGCGCGAAAGCGUGGGGAGCAAACAGGAUUAGAAACCCUAGUAGUCC
rnacentral:rRNA from 1 species